CCUACGGGAGGCAGCAGUGGGGAAUAUUGCGCAAUGGGCGAAAGCCUGACGCAGCGACGCCGCGUGCGGGAUGAAGGCCUUCGGGUUGUAAACCGCUUUCAGCGGGGACGCGGUACCCGCAGAAGAAGCACCGGCUAACUACGUGCCAGCAGCCGCGGUAAUACGUAGGGUGCAAGCGUUGUCCGGAUUUAUUGGGCGUAAAGAGCUCGUAGGCGGUUUGUCGCGUCGGAUGUGAAAACCCAGGGCUCAACCCUGGGCCUGCAUUCGAUACGGGCAGACUAGAGUAUGUCAGGGGAGACUGGAAUUCCUGGUGUAGCGGUGAAAUGCGCAGAUAUCAGGAGGAACACCGGUGGCGAAGGCGGGUCUCUGGGAAAACUGACGCUGAGGAGCGAAAGCGUGGGGAGCAAACAGGAUUAGAUACCCUUGUAGUC
rnacentral:rRNA from 1 species